GUAACAGAUCUAGCUUGCUACCUGCUGACGAGCGGCGGACGGGUGAGUAAUGCAUAGGAAUCUGCCCGGUAGUGGGGGAUAACCUGGGGAAACCCAGGCUAAUACCGCAUACGUCCUACGGGAGAAAGGGGGCUUCGGCUCCCGCUAUUGGAUGAGCCUAUGUCGGAUUAGCUAGUUGGUGAGGUAAUGGCUCACCAAGGCAACGAUCCGUAGCUGGUCUGAGAGGAUGAUCAGCCACAUCGGGACUGAGACACGGCCCGAACUCCUACGGGAGGCAGCAGUGGGGAAUAUUGGACAAUGGGGGCAACCCUGAUCCAGCCAUGCCGCGUGUGUGAAGAAGGCCCUCGGGUUGUAAAGCACUUUCAGCGAGGAAGAACGCCUAUCGGUUAAUACCCGGUAGGAAAGACAUCACUCGCAGAAGAAGCACCGGCUAACUCCGUGCCAGCAGCCGCGGUAAUACGGAGGGUGCAAGCGUUAAUCGGAAUUACUGGGCGUAAAGCGCGCGUAGGUGGCUUGAUAAGCCGGUUGUGAAAGCCCCGGGCUCAACCUGGGAACGGCAUCCGGAACUGUCAGGCUAGAGUGCAGGAGAGGAAGGUAGAAUUCCCGGUGUAGCGGUGAAAUGCGUAGAGAUCGGGAGGAAUACCAGUGGCGAAGGCGGCCUUCUGGACUGACACUGACACUGAGGUGCGAAAGCGUGUGUAGCAAACAGGAUUAGAUACCCUGGUAGUCCACGCCGUAAACGAUGUCGACCAGCCGUUGGGUGCCUAGAGCACUUUGUGGCGAAGUUAACGCGAUAAGUC
rnacentral:rRNA from 2 species